AGAAGAUUAGCUUAUUUCUUCGACAAAACAUGUAUAUGUAUCAACUAUUAAAAGUUUAAGAAAAAACUGGACAGACUUUGGUGACCUUAAGAAAUAGAAUAAGACAGAUGAAAAAAAAAUAGAAAUGUUGAUGGCUUUAAGAAAUGAUAUUAGGCAGAAGAAAAGGAAAACAAAUUCGAUUCGAAUUGAUUGAAUUAGAAUAACUUACG
rnacentral:lncRNA from 1 species